AGCUCCGUUAGUGUAUUCAAAAGUUGUUGCUGUUAAAACGCUCGUAGUCGAAACUGGACGCUGCCCGAACUGUCCGUCCUUGUGGCGUGCACGGUCUGGGCGACGUCUCUGUAUGCGCGUCGCUUCGGUGGCGAGCAUACCUUUUACCUAAAGGAAAUCGGAUCGCUCCAAGAAGGCCUUUGGCCAUGGACGCUUCAGUUUGGAAUAAUGAAAAAUGACAAAACUCAUUUUCAUCGGUUCUUUGAGAUUUGUAAUGGUGCGUCUUCUGCCCAAACCCUCUGCCCUCCGACCUCUAGCAGAAACUAACUCCCACGCAGAUUAAUGGGAACGGUUGGGGUUGUCUGUACUUCCUGGUUAGAGGUGAAAUUCAGUUAUCCAGGAAAGACAAACUACUGCGAAGGCAUUCAACCGGGACGUUUCCGUCA
rnacentral:rRNA from 1 species